rnacentral:rRNA from 1 species
GAGUUUGAUCGUGGCUCAGAUUGAACGCUGGCGGCAUGCCUUACACAUGCAAGUCGAACGGCAGCACGGGAGCUUGCUCCUGGUGGCGAGUGGCGAACGGGUGAGUAAUGCAUCGGAACGUAUCCUGGAGUGGGGGAUAACGUAGCGAAAGUUACGCUAAUACCGCAUAUUCUGUGAGCAGGAAAGCGGGGGACCUUCGGGCCUCGCGCUCUUGGAGCGGCCGAUGUCGGAUUAGCUAGUUGGUGAGGUAAAGGCUCACCAAGGCGACGAUCCGUAGCAGGUCUGAGAGGAUGAUCUGCCACACUGGAACUGAGACACGGUCCAGACUCCUACGGGAGGCAGCAGUGGGGAAUUUUGGACAAUGGGGGCAACCCUGAUCCAGCCAUGCCGCGUGAGUGAAGAAAGGCCUCGGUUGUAAGUACGUACUUUCGU